UAAGGAAUAUUGGUCAAUGGACGCAAGUCUGAACCAGCCAUGCCGCGUGAAGGAUGAAGGUCCUCUGGAUUGUAAACUUCUUUUAUCUGGGACGAAAACGGGAUUUUUAUCUCAAUUGACGGUACCAGAGGAAUAAGCACCGGCUAACUCCGUGCCAGCAGCCGCGGUAAUACGGAGGGUGCGAGCGUUAUCCGGAUUUACUGGGUUUAAAGGGUGCGUAGGUGGGCCUAUAAGUCAGUGGUGAAAUCUCCGAGCUUAACUUGGAAACUGCCGUUGAUACUAUAGGUCUUGAAUUAUCUGGAGGUAAGCGGAAUAUGUCAUGUAGCGGUGAAAUGCUUAGAUAUGACAUAGAACACCAAUUGCGAAGGCAGCUUACUACAUAUAAAUUGACGCUGAGGCACGAAAGCGUGGGGAUCAAACA
rnacentral:rRNA from 1 species